rnacentral:misc_RNA from 1 species
GAUGAAGAACGCAGCGAAAUGCGAUAAGUAGUGUGAAUUGCAAAAUUCAGUGAAUCAUCGAAUCUUUGAACGCACAUUGCGCCCCUCGGUAUUCCGUGGGGCAUGCCUGUUCGAGCGUCAUUUACCCCUCAAGCACUGCUUGGUGUUGGGCGUCUGUCCCGCUUCGCGCGCGGACUCGCCCCAAAGGUAUUGGCAGCGGUCGUGCCAGCUUCUCGCGCAGCACAUUGCGCUUCUCGAGGCGGUCGAUCGGCGUCCACGAAGCUCACCUCCACCGUUUGACCUCGGAUCAGGUAGGGAUACCCGCUGAACUUAAGCAUAUCAAUAAGCGGAGGA